GCUGUGAUGGCCGAGUGGUUAAGGCGUUGGACUCGAAAUCCAAUGGGAUAUUCCCGCGCAGGUUCAAGUUCUGCUUACGGCG
rnacentral:tRNA from 1 species